rnacentral:rRNA from 1 species
GACGAACGCUGGCGGCGUGCCUAAUACAUGCAAGUCGAGCGAAUCAAUAGGAGCUUGCUCCUGUUGAUUAGCGGCGGACGGGUGAGUAACACGUGGGCAACCUGCCUGUAAGACUGGGAUAACUUCGGGAAACCGGAGCUAAUACCGGAUAAUCCUUUUCCUCUCAUGAGGAAAAGCUGAAAGUCGGUUUCGGCUGACACUUACAGAUGGGCCCGCGGCGCAUUAGCUAGUUGGUGAGGUAACGGCUCACCAAGGCGACGAUGCGUAGCCGACCUGAGAGGGUGAUCGGCCACACUGGGACUGAGACACGGCCCAGACUCCUACGGGAGGCAGCAGUAGGGAAUCUUCCGCAAUGGACGAAAGUCUGACGGAGCAACGCCGCGUGAGCGAUGAAGGCCUUCGGGUCGUAAAGCUCUGUUGUUAGGGAAGAACAAGUAUCGGAGUAACUGCCGGUACCUUGACGGUACCUAACCAGAAAGCCACGGCUAACUACGUGCCAGCAGCCGCCGUAA